AAUCACCUCGUGGAGGCUCUGUUUCCAAAUAAGGUCAACAUCUGAGGUCUUGGGGGCUGGGGUUUCCACACACAGAUUUUGGGUACAUGUAGCCCCAAACAAGAUAAAGGUCAGGUGGGUCCAACUGCCUGGAAAUGUCCUCUUCCGCUGGCUCAAAGGUCACAUCAUAUCUCAGCGGGGUGGGGUGGGAGGAAGAGCCAGCAUUUGUCCUCAGGUUGGUGGCCCUGUGAGGGCACAGAACAAAUCCCACACCUCCCAGAUCUUCUGUUCCUCAGGUGGUGGGAAUGCCGACCCUCGGAUGGUCCUGCAUUUGUGCAGAGGCACAGGGACUGCCUGGGCUGGUGGGGUCGCCCAGCAGAAAGAGGGGCUGCCAUUGGCCCCCGGGGGGACUGGGCUGCUCACAAAGCCCCCCCAGUGGCUGCAGGGAGUCUGGCCACCCUCCCCUCCAGCUUCCUGCUCUCAUGAAGACAGCCUUCAGCCAGAGGAGAGACCAGCUCUGUGUCCUUAUUGUCAAGCCAAAUUGAAAUGAGCACAGCUGGUGGCGAGGUAUAGCCCCACAAGAGGCACUCAGAAACCCUCUGGCAGAAGGACCAGCAGCUGACAUGGGUGCGUUCUCUCCCUGAAAACUGUUCGAGAGCCCAAACACUGCUCACAGUCUGAGGUCCUUCUGGCCCCUGGGCUGGCCGUCAGGAGCUCUGCCUACAGCCCUUCCUGCUGGGCUCCAGCCCUGGCCUGGCCACUCGCUAGUACUGUGACCUCCAAACAGGUCCCUGCCCCUCACUGCCCAGCUUCCUUGUUUCUGGAGACCCCAGGGUCCCUCUGGCCCUGUCCGUGUCCAGUUCUAGGCCCAGUGUGGCCCUGCUUGGGGGGUAGAUGAAGUCGUGGGGCCAUCUGUUGUCAAGGAAGAGGCCAGUGGGACCAGGGAGCCCCGGGAUACACUUCCAGAGAUUCCCAGGCUGAGCUCUGAGUGGCCCUGUCAAGACCCGAGGGGUUCUGUGCUUGUGUCCUGGGCAGGUGUUCCUGGGGAGCAGCCUGGGGUCUCGGUGGGAUUCAGACAGUGUCAGCGCCAGCUGGCACCAGAGCCUCAACACAGGACUGGGCAUCUGGGUUUCUCCAUGUCCACCCUCAGCCUAGUCUUUGCCCACCUCUGCCUAUGUUCUAGCAUGAUCUGGUGGGGUGCCUGCCCGCUAACCCCCCACAUUCCCUUCACUUCUUGCCAUCCCUGGAGUGAGUGGUCUGCCUGGCUGAGACACUCUCAGCUGUCACCUUACCUGGCCUCCACCCACAGCCUACUGGUGACUCACAGCUCUGUCCUCCCCCAGAGACAGUGGGCGGCUUUGCACCCUGGGGUGCCGAGAUCCUAUCCUUUAAAUGGCUUGCACCUGUAGUGGCCUCCCACCUCCCAGCCUUCCAACCCCCCCAGCUCUGGCCAAGGGCCGAGGUUACUGCUAUGGUCGUCCCCCAGGGUCUCACUCCAAACCCUGCUUUCUCCUAAAAGGGAGGCCCUCCCCUCCUCACCCCAUGUUGCCCCAUGGGGCUUAGGGACCAUCUCCCAGACGUGCCAGGACAGAGAUAGCAGCAGUGACAAGUGGAAACAGACAGGAGACUGCAGCUUCCAGCCAUCCAAAGAGACUGCUUCGGAGGGAGACAGGUGCCCCCACAAGCCCAGCUCUCAAGGGGCAGAAUGCGGGGCCUUCCUUCCUCACACAGGGCAUGGCUGGCGUGGACAGGCCCCUUCCUAAGGACUGUCAACAGUCCAGAGAGCCAGAUGGCCCUGCAGGGGACUGAGGGUAAGGUAGAUGCCCUGACCCAGUGGCAAAUGUCCAAGUCCAGGGGAGGGUGGCUGGUCUGUUUGAGUAAACAGACCUGGGAGGAGCCACACUGCACCCAGGGCUGACCUGGAGCCGGCCUCGCUGGGCCCUGCUCCAAUCUGCAGGGCAUGUUAGCGGAACACCUAGUGGGAUCAUGUGGGGGCAGCUUGGACUUCCGAUCAGCAGUUGUGACCUCCAAGGUGGCCGCUCUCCUCCAGCCUGAGUCACCAGGACAAAGACCCUGGUUGAUUAAUGUGCAGCCAGCCCCAAGCCCCAGAGGAAUGGGUGGCACACACCCAUGUGAAAACCACAUGCUCACUCUGCAUGGGCUCCGAGUAAGGACCACGUGCUGCUCUGGGCAGAGGGGCUCCUCUCUCUAGGCCUCUGACCUCUGCCUGCCACCACUGGGCAGGCCUCAGAGUAGGAGGGCCCAGCCAGUAGGCCGAUUGCCUCCUGGUUUGGGUCUUGACUCAGGCUCCUGGGAACAGCCCUGCCAAGCUGUAGACCUGGGGCCAACCUGCGCCCCCCAACCCGAGAUGGCUGCCCAGGAACUGGGAACUGAGGCACAGCCUGCCACUGCAACCCGCCACCCUCCUCACUGCCUCCAGCCUGAUGUGGGCGGCCAGCACACUCUUGCUUUUGAGUGCGUCUUUGCCACGUGCGUUUGGAUCCCUGAACAAUAACGUGUAGUUUUAUGUGAUUUUGAGCUUUAUACAAAUUGAAGCAUGUGGCACGAGGCGUCCUGCGAUUGGCUCUUUCCCACUCAGUGUCACCUUUCUAGGAUGACACACGUGGCUGCAGGUGACAGCAGCUGCGUAACACUCUGUCCCACCCCCACGACCACACAUGGAGCCCCAGAGCCCUGCACAGUGGCUGGGGCAGCCUUCUGCAGGUGCCCUGGCAUGUGUGGGGUCUGCAGGAGGCAAACCUGAGCAGCACCAGCCCCCUCUUCUGCCUCCAUUGUUCAUUUAAUUGGGGGCGGGGGCAGGAACAGAGCAGCGCUCAGGCAAACAGGUGGCCACAGUGAGUGCUGCUGCUCUGUGUGGGUCUCAGCUCUGUACACAUUUGAGCACUGUCCCCAUCCCUGCAAGACAGCGGGUACCUGUGCUCUGGUGGCACCUCCACCACUAGGGUCAGUGGGCGUGAUGUGGGCAGUGAGGCCUCGCAGGGGUGUCUGUGCAGUGGGCAUGGGGCCAGAGGAGCCACAAGAGGGCCUGGAACAAGGCCCCUCCACCAUCCAGGGGAAGGACCUCUUUCAUUUACCAGCCCAUUGAUACUUCGUAAGACAUGAUGAAAGGAACAACUAGAAAGAUGAAAUGGAAAGCAAAGAGAAUACAGCCCAGGUAUGGCUUUUUAUUAUUACAUUCAAGGAUUGUCGACUCACUCCAGCUGAGAGGAUGGAGGUCCAACUUAGUGCCGGUGUCUGUCCAGCUGCGGAGGGGGAUGGGACAGAGGAGACCCUGCUCCAUCUCCAAGGAAGGAACAAGCACCGUACCCAGCUUGGGCUCCCAGGACUCUGUAGGUUCUCCAAAGUCCCUCGGGGUGGUGUGUAGGGAGAGCUGGCACAGAGGGGCCCAGCUGGCCCAGGGCCAGUGCUGACCAGUCACUGGGAUCUGGUGUCUGCAGCUGAGUCCAGGUCACAGGCACAUUGUUGGGGGGUGGGCUUCAACUGCAUACUGUAUGGAGAUGAGCAUCAUCCCCCCAAAUUCACGUCGACUCAUAACCUUGGACUAUGAUGAGAUGAAGUUAAGAUGAGGUCAUCUUAGGGCAGGCCCUAAUCCAAUGGCUGGCACCCUUCAUAGAAGAGGGAAUUCAGAGUCCCAGGCACAGGGAGACGGUCGCAUUUCCACAGAGGCAGUAGAUGGAACAAUGCAGCCAGGGCCAAUGAUGCCUGGGGCCGUUAGACCCUGGGAGAGGCAGGAAGGACCCUCCCCCAGCAGCCCUGCGGCACCUGCUGCUGUGAGCCUAGUGGGUGGCCACCUGUGACACAGCCCUGGGAAACCGCCACAGACCUGCUGACUGCCAGCGCUGCUCUGCCCACCAGCUGGAAUCAGAAAGACUGGCAAGCCGAACGCAGCCACCAGAAUCCUCACAUCCUGUGUGUGGGAGGUGAACUGACGCCACCACUCUGGGAAGCUGUCUGGAAUGAUUCAGCCAAGCUGGACACGGACCCUAGGACCCAACAAUCCCGCCACCAAGUAUAGAUCCAACAGGAACGAGCGUGAAAGCCAAAAAAAAGACACGUGCAGAGUGCUCAGAGCAGUCUGCUCACACAACCAGAAAUCAUACACCGCCACUCAGCAGGAGAGGGGUCCACGGUGCCCACCCUCCCCACAUAGCCAUGGAGAGAAAGAUUCCCACUGCCCAGAGCACUGGGGUGACCCACAGUCGCAGCACUGAAGGUCAGAGGUCAGGAGAAAGGUUACCCCUGUGGGUGAUGACAGGGGUUCCCGGGGGCACGAGGGCUCUCUGUGGGUGCUAGGAAGCUCUGGAUGUCCAUCAUGGACACGUAGAGUGGCUGCCCAGGUGCAGACACAAGCAAGGAUACGUUCAGCGAGAGACUCAGAAUGUUUCAUUUACCGUAUGUAAGUUACACCAUGUACAGAAGUUAUUCUAAGAGUAUGCUUUUGCCAGGUCUAAACCUCCCCAGAGCAGGCUGUGGGCAUGGAAUGGCAGCCCAGGACCUGCUUGGGGCCUCCAGCUUUAUCCCCAGGGGCAGAGCCCAGGAGGUGAAGCCUGUUGGAGCAGGUCCACCCACUAUGCAGGUGUCCCCUGUGUGUGCAGUGAGUCCCUGAACUGAGGCUCAGGGCUUUAGGCACUCACAGCCCGUAUGGUCUCAGAGGCCAGUAACCACUUAGUCCAACCAGCCAAGGAGGUGGACAUGGGAGGGAGAGGGGAGGCCGAAGAGGGACCCUCCAGACGCCCCAGCCCUUCUGCCUGGAACUGUGAAAGGGAAAAAGCCCCCAGGCAAGGUGGCCAGGACAGGCAGGAUUUACUCAGGCAGAGAAGUGGAGGAAGGUAGUGAUGGGCCAGAUCAACACGACCUGGGACAUCAAAUCCAGGUGCCCCGGGGAUUAUGGCAAGAGGUAGGCCCUGAUGGGGACAGCACCACUCCAUGCCUGCUGGGAACCUGACAUAGGUGCCCCCUCUCUGGGACUCCAUUUCUCUGUCUUUAAAAUGGAGGAAGAAGUGGCACCUGCCUCCAAAUUGUAGCAAAAAGGAAAUUAUAGCAGCUGCGUGAAGCACCUGGCCCAGGGCACGUGCCAUUGUGCUCAUGUCCUUUCACAAGCAGGGAAGCCACACAUCUUACAGAAUGGCCUGCGGCUGGCUCACCAUAUAGCCAGACAAAUGAGCCAGCCUUUGACAAGCCAUUGGGUUUCUUCUUAUGCUACCAGCCUGGACAGAGCCACAAGCCCUCAGUCUCUGAGAGCUGAUAACGGAGACCUUGGAGCAGCUUCCUGAGGAAGCUCAGGCGCCUGGCGGAGUUUCCAGGCGGGUCUGCAGGAUGCCUUUCUCCUCCAGGGCCUUGGGACAGCCUGGGCUCCAUAAAUGGUCAAAUAAAGCCCAGCGGCCUCGGCGUUAUCAGCUCUGGGUUCAGUGUCUCUUACCCA